AGUUUGAUCCUGGCUCAAGAACGAACGCUGGCGGCAUGCCUAACACAUGCAAGUCGAACGAGACCUUCGGGUCUAGUGGCGCACGGGUGCGUAACGCGUGGGAAUCUGCCCUUGGGUUCGGAAUAACAGCGAGAAAUUGCUGCUAAUACCGGAUGAUGACGUAAGUCCAAAGAUUUAUCGCCCAAGGAUGAGCCCGCGUAGGAUUAGCUAGUUGGUGAGGUAAAGGCUCACCAAGGCGACGAUCCUUAGCUGGUCUGAGAGGAUGAUCAGCCACACUGGGACUGAGACACGGCCCAGACUCCUACGGGAGGCAGCAGUGGGGAAUAUUGGACAAUGGGCGAAAGCCUGAUCCAGCAAUGCCGCGUGAGUGAUGAAGGCCUUAGGGUUGUAAAGCUCUUUUACCCGGGAUGAUAAUGACAGUACCGGGAGAAUAAGCCCCGGCUAACUCCGUG
rnacentral:rRNA from 1 species